rnacentral:rRNA from 1 species
AGCAGCCGCGGUAAUUCCAGCUCCAAUAGCGUAUAUUAAAGUUGCUGCAGUUAAAAAGCUCGUAGUUGAAUUUCGGGACCAAUAUGUCGGUCGUGCUUCGGUACGUACUGUCAUAAUUGGUUUCUCCCUUCUGAAGAACCUUGAUGUCAUUAAUUUGGUGUCUUGGGGAAUCAGGACUGUUACUUUGAAAAAAUUAGAGUGUUUAAAGCAGGCUCGCGCUUGAAUACAUUAGCAUGGAAUAAUGAAAUAGGACGUUUGAUUCUAUUUUGUUGGUUUCUAGGAUCGACGUAAUGAUUAAUAGGGAUAGUUGGGGGCAUUAGUAUUCAAUUGUCAGAGGUGAAAUUCUUGGAUUUAUUGAAGACUAACUACUGCGAAAGCAUUUGCCAAGGAUGUUUUCAUUAAUCAAGAACGAAAGUUAGGGGAUCGAAGACGAUCAGAUACCGUCGUAGUCUUAACCAUAAACUAUGCCGACUAGGGAUCGGAUGAUGUUAAUUUUUUAAUGACUCA